UCAAGGUGUAUGGAACUGCUGAAUCACAGCCUGAACCUCUGAUUGAUCACCUGAGGUGAGCAGUGAGUCAGCUCUGGGAGCACAGGUGAAGGCAAUUCCACAAUUCACCUGUGCUGCUGGAAGGAGUGGAGCCUGGCUGCGCCUCUCCUAGAUCUACUGAAGAGCUGGCUACCAGUGGGAAAGGAUCUCUUCUGGAGAUCCCUCCUCUGAGUUUUGCAGUGAGCCCAGAAUAUGGAAUCAUAGAAUUACUAGAGCUGGAAAAGACCCUUAAAGGUCACCUACUUAACUUGACUGCAGUGAAGGAGUCAUCCAAUCAGCUACACUACCUGUUUAAUGAAAAUGGAGAGCUGAAACUAUCACCCAAAGGUCAGCCAGCAAGCCAAGCAAAACUGAGUAUGGAGCCCAUCUGUACCAAGAGGAAGCCUUAUAAUGAAGCUAAUAGAGCACAGCCCACUGUGAUGAUUAAUUCUAAUUUCAUGAGGCAUCGUGUUUUAUCUUCUUAGAAGUUCAUAUUUACAAUUCCAACAACAGGUAAGCAGUAUACUGUGUGAGACGUGCGUAUGGAAAAAUAGAUUGAGGCAGAUGGGCUCAUAGUAAACAUGAACUGGCAGUGUUAACAUCUCAUGUAAUGAAAAGAAUUCUUAGUAAAUUCACAAGUUGAUUUAUCUGCAAGCAACUUAAUCAAAGGCAGUACCAAAAGGCCAGAGUCAUACGAGGCUGGAUCCAAAGUCCAAACAGGUUUGUGAAUACUGCUAAUGUAAUUUGAAUGGAAUUUUAAAAAUACACAAAAUAUGAAUGCAAAAUAGCAAGAGAAGUGAAUUCAAGGAUGCCAGCCACACCACAGGUCCCUGCAACUACAGUGUGUUAGAUGAAAAUAUUCAUGGCACUCCAGGAACGUAGAGGGGAGAAAAAAUUCCCUUCCCUCCCCAUCCCCAUAUGAUGGGGUCAAACAUUUAAAUUUGAUUACAGAUAUCAGACCCAUACUCCAGGCCAGGACUACUCUCCCACUACUACAGGAAGAAUCACCUCACUUAAAAUCCCAUCUUUGGUCGAUGACAAAUUGCCUCUGCUUUGGAAGAGAAUGAAUAAAACAGGACAACAUAAAUUAUGCACCACAAGGGCAAUAAAUAAAUGAGUAACUAUUCCCUCCUGUUCCAUGCACAGGGAGGCUUACCAACGGAAGCCUUGAAGAACAGAUCAGGUAAAAAUUGGACUCAUUACAACCAACAACAAUCAAUUCUUUUCUCAGCUUCCCAAGAUUUCUGAUAUUCCAGAACCAAUAAAUCUCAAAUGCUCAUCUAUAACUUUUGCCUCUGGGUUCAAUCUUGUCAUCUAACGUAGCCUCUUUACGUAAUUGUAGAAAAGAUCAUAUGAAAUCACUGCUUUUCAUUCUCACCAUUACUAAGUUUUCAAGACUAAAUUUCAUCAUCUGAUUUUUCCAGAGUUUUGGAACUGAAUUUCUCCCUCAGACAUAUUUAUUUUGUGCUAUCUCUCUCUCCCAUGCACUCUCCAACACUCAAAGACCGUUCUUAUUUUUUCCUAGCUUCACUUGCCAAAUUUUCUUUCAAGACAUUGAGUUCAACUUAAGCAUAAUCCCCAAAAUUCUUCUCUUUCCUGGAUUUUUGAGAGACUCAGUAUUUUCUGGGUCUGACUGAUCAGUAUUACAAACCAUGUCCUGAAUGCAAAUUAUUUAUUGGCUGGUCCUAACAACUUUUUUUUAAAAGCUAUAAACCACCUGGUGUGUCUUAGAACCAUGUGAGAAGAAAACAGAUAGGGUUGUGUUAUGGCCCAGAUCCCUCUACCUCUGAUUAGCAGUCUAGUUAUGCCAGGAGUUCUCGUCAGCAUGGAGUAUGUAAAUCCACUCUAUUUUUAAGUUUCUUUUAUGAAACUUAAACCACUAUUUAUUGCUCCAAACACAUAAUCCAUCCUCUGCUACUGAGCACUAUCAUCAUUUCUUCCUAUUCAGAAGCAAACAGACCAGAUUUUUAGCAAAGUCAGUAACUUGCUCAUUUCAAUGCUGGCUCUACUAUUUCAAGUAUCUGGCAGGGAAGUGACUAAAAUUGAAGUGACAGAAAAAAUAUUACAGGAAAAGAAACAAUUUAUUCCAACAAAGUCAUUUUUAAAAAAUAAACAACAAGAGUUAAAAUGUUACAAUGAACAUUUUUUCAUACUUAGUAAAUAAAAAAAAAAAAAAAUAUUCCUUCUGUAAAUCAGGUGAAACUCCAAAGCGUUUUCAAGUUUAAAGACAAAAGAGAAAGUUAACCUUACGGGGAAGACAAGCAGUUAUUUGGCUUCAAUAAUGCAUUUGAUUUCUUACACCCUGCAGUACAUCUGCCUGGAGUCAGUGUUAAGCUGCUGAUACAAAGCGAGUUUCCUUAAACAAAUGUAUUAAAAAAGUAUAAUCCAGGGGAACAGAGUUAAAAAUAAUCUUUAUAUGUAUAAAAUAAUUUUUACAUGCACCAGUCAAAGAUUCUUUACUAUUAACUUAUUAUAUACUACUAACUUCUUUCAAAGCUAUACCACACUGAAUUCAUAAUAUUCAAGGAUGAAAGUCCUAACAUCUAACUUCUCCAGCACAGCCAAUAAAGGCUCUGAGGAUUCAGCCAUUAGCAGUGAUACAUAGAGGAUUCUUCCUGUGCUCCCCAUCUGUAUGGGAACUGCUGAGUCACGGCCUGAACCUCUGAUUGAUCACCUGAGGUGAGCCAUGAGUCAGCCAGAGGAGCACAGGUGAAGGCAAUUCACCUGUGCUGCUGGAAGGGGUGGAGCCAGGUUCCACCCCUCCUGGACCUAUUUAAGAGCUGGCUACCAGAGGGGAAGGAUCUCUUCUGGAGAUCCUCCUCUUUGAUAUCUUCUAGUGAGCUCAACCCAAGGGUAAGCUCUUCUACUUAUUCUCUUUUGUGAUCCUGUUUGCUUUGCCAUACUCUUUUGAUUAUAUUGCAAUUAUAACAUCUUGGUUAUACACCAUCGAAUAAGAUUUACUUUACUUGCAUUCAUUUUUCUAUUAUCAGGUAUCACUUCGCCACUUUGACUUCGGUCUUGGUUUAUACCCUGUUAUAAAGUCACUUUAUGAUAUCAAAACUUUGACACAUACCGGUUUCAGCCUACAGGACUGAUAGAGAAUGGUAUAUAAUUAAUGGAUUUCAUUAGAUACAAUUAAUGGACUUCUUUCACAAACAUAUCUAAAGGCUGAUCUAAUAACUGUGUUAUUGAACAACAUCCCACAUACAAAAACACUUUCAAUCUAUUAGUCUGUGAAGAGGCAGGUCACCCUACAUGUACUAAACCAACAGGACAUCGAACUGUUUUCCUAAGCUCUCCCUCCACUCCCUUCUCAAGAGGCACUGGCUCAGAUAUUUGACUCAUUUUUCCCUUUUAUUUCAAAAACAAAUGGCUCUCGCUGACAUCACAAUAUUCCCAUAAGGCAGAGUUGGGAGUGCCCCCAUCACUGUACUUCUCAUUAUACAAAGUGCUAUAAUGAAAUUUCUAUCAUACACUUGCAUGUGUGAUGCAGAUCUGGGGAAAUUUGGGGAAAACAUGGGAAGCGCUGGAUUUCUCUUAGCUGCCUGCAAACCUGAAAAGCUUAUGCUGCGCUUCAGUUCCCCAGAGUUCCACUUCUUUUCAGCCAUGUGAAUUGCCAUCUGUGCUUCCCAGACUGGCAAGUUAAAAAUCUGCUGUCAUUUGUAUCACCAAUGAGCAAAUUAAAGGCAGAGAUUUCCCUCUUUAAUAAAAUAAGAAUGAUAAAUGGCAAUCUAAAUAUUGAUUCCAAAGUGAGAAGCAGGAGCACCGUUAGUUGAAGAAUCACAGGAAGAUGGCAAUCGGUAGACUACCUUCAGGUUUUCUUAUUCUCUCUAAACCAAUGACAAAUUUAAGGAGAGUAAAAUAAGCUGGAAUGUAAAUAAAAAUACAACUCAGCUGAUGACAUGUUUAGAGGGAUGCUUCACGAACCUAGAAGAUACGUUUGGUUUGCAAAGUACAGAUGCAAAUGGCAAAGCAGGAAAUUUUGUCAUAAAUAUCAAAGGAUUACACGCUCAUUUUGAGAUCGAGAAUAACAGAAGCCAAAUACCCUAAAAGUAUCCACAUAACACUAACAUGAAUAUUGUACAGUGAGAGAAAGAAAAGAAAAAUUACCAAACAAGAAGAUUAAAAUGGAUGAGGGAGAGAGGUUGUUUGGUUUUGAUUCUUUGGCUUUUCUUUUUGACAGCCAGCAGAAUCUUUCAAAGCACCAGAUUUAGCGUUAAUGACUCAUAGAAUAAGGUUUUCAGAAGCAGAUCAUGGACAUAAGUGAGCACUAACCCUCUUAGUAACUGGGUUGACUGUCGGUUUUGUUGAAGCUUUGAACCUGAAAGUUUGCAUCAAUAUACCGGUGCCUGAAACUUUGCUACACUGAAAUGCAAAUCAUCAUAUAAGAACAAGCCCUGAAAUGUUUUUGGGAAGGGUCAACUUCACUCUCCCAAAUGCCCCUUGGGAACAGUGUCAGGGUUAUCGCACAGUCAGGAAAACUUCCAAAUGAUGCUGUGUGUGCAGCUACCUGCUUUGAAAGCUGGGAGAUUAACCAAAUGCACAGAUCUCAUUCCAUGUCAGCUGUCCUCAAGGCCAGACUAUGGUUCUAUUUAUUUGUGCUGAUAAGGCCAAAAAGGAUUUGAAAUCAAACCAACUUAAGAAAACAGAAAUUAAGUGCAGAUAAAAGUGGAGGAGUACACAUACAUGCAUACACACACACACACACACACACACAAAGCCCAAUAAAACAGAAAAUGUGCUAAAGGGAAAAAUAGUAACCAUCUUUGGAGAUCUAAGAAAACAACAAAACUGAAGAAAAAAAAGAAAAAGCAAAUUUAGAAACAAAAUUACAGAGAACUCUUCCUAGACAGAGGCUACUGAAGGAAAAGACUGCAAAAAAUCAUCAACAGAGAGAAAUGAAAUUCUUAAAGGAGAAUACAGACAACAUGAAGAAGAAACAAAGGCUUGAAACGCUGGCAAAAUCCAUUCUCUUCAAAUAAGGUCAAGAAAUUGAGGAAGAAACAAAACUGUGUUUAAAAUCAUGAAAGAAAAUUAUUUGUGCAGUACAGUUUUACAAGGAAUUCUUGCAGGAAUUAGAUCAAAAUAGAAGGCCUAUCCUAUAAAAGCAAAUGGUUGGAAGAUAAAGUUUGUCAGUCUCAGCAAGGAAAAAAAUCUGAGAUGAAAAUCUGCAAGCUUCAGAGGAAGAAAGACGGCAUCGUUGAUAUCACUGAAAACCAACAGUGAUAUUGAAAAUGCAACAAAGAGAAAAAUGGCUGUAAGCCAAAAGAAGCUUUUUUUCCAAAUUUUGUAUUUACAUAAUAAAGACGGGGGUCUUUACUAUUAACUAUGAGGGACUACUUAAAACCCCAGGAUUUAUCUCAGCCUACCAAAUUGUAGAUUUGUGCUUGUUUUCUUUUAAGAUUAAUAAACACACACACCAUACUUUUCACCACAAAUACUGGUUAUUCCUACAAAUACCAAAGCACACUUCCCCCAGGAAAGUCAACAUACAAGACCAGUACCAACAGAACUAAGAAUCCUUUAUGUAAUAAAACAAAUCGUAUAGUAGUAGAAUAAAAGAAAAACAGCAUUAUACUUAGUGCCUUAGAUUGUUUUGCUGUUCCUUCCUGUCUUCUUCCUUUUUCUUCCUCCUUAAAAAGGUCAGCAAUUCAAACCUGCUCACAGUGAGAUCAUGGUCUGAUAAUGCUAUGAGAAUUAUACUAGAACUCAUACAUAAUAUCUUUUACUCCAAGUUUUACCAACAAUAACCAAAUAAAAAUAUAGCACUUUGUUCCAAAAUACAUCAAACGGCUUCAGUGACUCCGCUUUCAUUACGCGAUUAGCCAAAUAGCAGUAAGAUGACACUAACAAGACUGUGGUCACCUUCACUGCUGUGAUUCAGAACCAUCCCAGCAGCUGUGCAGAUUUCAAAGAUGGUAGCAAUUUCAUAUCCCUGCCACUGCCAAUCCAUGGGAAGGCUCUGAGUAGCUGCCAACAGAAUUCAGCAUCCAGAAACCUGAGAGAAAAGGAAGAGGCACCAUUUCUUCCCUCAGGGCCAGAGAGUUGUGGCUUCACAUUUAUCAGACACGUGCUGAUCAAAGGUAGAGCAAAAAAAAAAAAGUCAAGAUGCCCAUGAGAGCUGAGACACCAGCAAUUAAGAUCAAGGAAGUGGUCAGAGGUUUUCAGUGAGAUACUGAUUUCACCAAAACCUGAACAAUGCUGUCAAAAAUGGUCUGCUACGUGGCUGAUGUUACCUGAUCGUGAAGGACACUGAAGAUUUGUUUUUAACACAUUUCUAUCAGCACAAAUAUUACACACAGAGAAGUAUGCUAUUUGUAUGUUUCAGUACACCAGAAGAUACCUUUGAGACUGUUCUUCAAUGCUAUUUGCCAAGUUUUAUAGUGCCCAAAUGUUAGAGAAAAAACAUCUACUAAAAAUAAGGCAUGUUGCAUUUCAGAGAGGUUUCGGGUCUUUCAAGUUGCUCAGUUCUGCAUAGUCAUUUUGUGACCCAUCUUUUCCAUACCUGUACAUGCCCAUACACAGACUAAAACAGUGUGAUAUUAAGAAGAAACUAUUACUAAGUGUUUGCAUGAAGAUUCCUUCUGAAGUGGUUCUGCUGCUUUCUUAUCCUCCUCUAACUACACAUUAGGCAAUCUUGCACUUCUCCCUUAUUCUUUUGAUGCUUCAAUUGUGAAGGAAAUUUCUAGAAAAUUAUACAUGUCUUUCCUACUCAGUAAUAAAAAGAAAAUAUCACUUUCAAAGCUACAUAUUUAGAAUCAUAGAAUUACCAAGAUUGGAAAACACCUCCAAGAUCAUCCAGUCCAACCAUGAUCCACCUACCACCAGUAUCUCCUGACAAACCCCUGUCCCUUAGUACCACACCUACACUUUCCUUGAACACCUUCAGGGUUGGUGACUCCACCACCUCCCUGGGCAGCCCAUUCCACUGCCUGACCACUCUUCCAGAAAAGAAAUCUUUCCUAAUAUGCAACCUGAACCUGCCCUGGUGCAACCCGAGGCCAUUCCGUCUAGCCCUAUUGCUAUUUAGUUUAAUCCAGUUCAGUUUCAUCUUCUUCUCUCUUUCGGUGUGCAAUAUAUGAAAGAAAACAGACUCCCUGCAAUGCAUUUACUAUGGGUUAAAGGCUGCACAACUGAGUCCUUUAUUUAUUUCCAAAGCAAGUAUAUAUGUAUGUAGUAACUCAGGUUCCUCUAUACUAUCCAAUGACUGCAGUACCAGCUACUCUGAGUGACCAGUAUAAGACCAAAGGACAACCCUGUUUUCAUACAGAAAACAACUUCCUAGGUUACAUCAGUUACCUGUGUUUUCUUUCAUAACGACAUGACGUAGGUCAUCCUUUCCCACAGCAGUGAGGAGGGGCAGACCAACAUAUAAGGAAGUCAAGGGCUUGGAAUUAUGAAAUUGGACUUUCCACUAAAUCUUGAUACCAAUAUAACAGAAAGGGUAAGGCAGUAUAUGCAAAGAAAACAGAGAAGAACGAGGGAAAAACAAACAAAUAAACAAAAAACUUUGAGACAUCAGUAAAAAAUAAACACUGAGACACAAACACAGAUCUGAUGUAAAAGCUCAUUUUGGGGUAGCUUUCGCUGUAUGUGAUUUUACAGAGGUACAACUUGACACCAGGGCUGCCCGUGCCUGAACUCAUUAAACAAAGUAAAGAAGGACAAACCUGUCACUAAGCUUCAAAAGCCUCCAUCAGAACACGGGAAGUUAAGCUGAAAAAGGGCUAGGCAAAAGAUGGCAGAGAAAAUGUUUUGUUGAGGCUCAGAUUGCAUCUUCAAGAACUGAUGACCUCUCCUUCAAAACUUCUCCACACAAGACUUCUCCACACUCACCAAGGAACUGUGGGCAAUGACACAUGCAGUGCGGGCAGCUUAGUGAAUGCACGAGUGCCACAAAAAAAGCACAGUUAGAAAAGGAAUAUCGCACUUUGAUUUAGACAUUCCAUCAGAAACCUUUCACACUGAUGUGUACUACUUCAUACAUCACAAAAAGUGAUUUUUUCUUUUAAACACUGCUUUUCCUCAGUUACUGUCACAUCAAUUUUUGUGUUUUCUUUUAUUGGUUUUGUUUUGUUUACUCAUACUAACUGGGUGCAUCUGGGAGUGUGUUCACCUUCAUAAUACAGUAAAGUCUUCAUGCAAGCAUGUCUAAACACAGCUGAAAAAUUCUCAGAUGAGAAUUCACAGCUCGCAAUACAUUUGUCUCUGGAAUUACAUUUAAUCUGGUAUAUAAGUAAAAAAAAAGUCAUAUUCUAAAGGGACCACUGAGCUCUGGAUACACUUCAACACCAAAUGAUGGCAGCUAAUGAAUAUCAAAUUAGUACAGUAUUCUUGAGCAACAUCCAAGAAAAGAGAUGUUCAAAUGUCCAUUCCAUACACUUUCAUUUCAAAGCACUUACUAUCUUGAAAAGCACAGUUAAAGCUAUCAUCUUUUUUGAUAAGAAAUGUCUUAGUCGGAUAAAGAAAUAAUCAAUCUCUUAGGGUUGCUUCUGCCAGGAAGUUAAAAUGUUUAAACAACAAUAUUUCACUUUUGUAAGAGACUUCAGGAGAAAAGCUACUAACAGAGGUUAUCAAUCUAAUGACACUCUGUUUAUAGCUUUGAGACCUACUUGAAUGAGGGAAUUGCCACACGGUGACAUUAAGCAAGCAAGCAGUUACUUACUGCCUAAGGAGUCCGAUCACUGGAAUACCCCUUGUAUGCCAAAAGCUGCACUGGUUGUGUUUGACUUGCAGGUAUCCCUGAAUUUCUCUCUCAAACUACUACUCUCAGCAGGAAACAAUAACCUUCACGAACUCCCAGGACACACCCUUGCUAUCUAAAGCAGUGUGAACAUAUUGUAACAUUUCACAUCAGUGUCAUGAGAAAAUAUAUUUAAGCUGUGAAGAAGCGUUUCCAUAUUUACACUGACUAUAUAAACAUCAAGGAAGUCAGAGAUGCUCAGAAAAAUCUGCACGCACUCUCGAAACAGCACUCUGAGAGGAGGGGGGUACAAUUCUGCUUCCUCUCUUUCACAUUUGUUUUCAGCAAUAACGAGGCAGCUGAUGGCUUGGCUGACUCUUCUGAUGGGACACCAAAUGACAUCUCCAAACACUAGCUGAGCUUGUCUAGGAACAAAAAAGUAGGCAUAGAACUAUACAAAAUAAUAGUAACAAUAAUAAUAAUAAUAAUAAUAAUAAUAAUAAUAAUAAUAAUAAUAAUAAUAAUAAUAAUUCAAGAGCAAUCAUUCCUUUUCCUAAAUAAUUUGUAGGAAAAAAAAAAACAAACAAAUUUGAAGUUCUGCCUGGACGUGUUCACCAACACAGUACGACGUGGCACACAGGACGAGCUUAAACCUCUACUACACUGGAUUGUAUCAUCGCUCAGCUCAUCUUCCUACAUAGCUGACUCUUCCACAGACUUUCUCUCAGAAGGGAACUCUGCCUGAGAGCACUGGAUAUUAUUUAACCAAGCCUGCCAGGUCAAAGUACUACAGCAGGGAUCCACAAAACUAACAAAACAGUAGGGUCUGUGUUAUAUGAAAGGACUAACCAAAGAUUAGUCUGGGAAAAAAAAGAAAAAAGAAAAACCACAUACCACAUUAACAACAAUUGGAAAAA